rnacentral:rRNA from 1 species
GGGGGCGUAGGGGGGGGCAUUAUAAUGCAAGUCGAACGAUGACUUUUGUAGCUUGCACAGAAUGAUUAGUGGCGAACGGGUGAUUAAAACGGGAGUAAGCUGGCCCUGGCUCUGGGAUAAUCCCGGGAAACCGGGUCUAAUACUGGAUAUGCACCGUGGACCGCAUGGUUCUUGGUGGAAAGAUUUAUUGGUCAGGGAUGGACUCGCGGCCUAUCAGCUUGUUGGUGAGGUAAUGGCUCACCAAGGCGACGACGGGUAGCCGGCCUGAGAGGGUGACCGGCCACACUGGGACUGAGACACGGCCCAGACUCCUACGGGAGGCAGCAGUGGGGAAUAUUGCACAAUGGGCGAAAGCCUGAUGCAGCGACGCCGCGUGAGGGAUGACGGCCUUCGGGUUGUAAACCUCUUUCAGUAGGGAAGAAGCGAAAGUGACGGUACCUGCAUAAUAAUCGCCGGCUAACUACGUGCCAGCAACCGCGGUAAUACGUAGGGCGCAAGCGUUAUCCGGAAUUAUUGGGCGUUAAGAGCUCGUAAGCGGUUUGUCCCGUCUGCCCUGAAAUUCGGGAGCUCCCCCUCGGAUCUGCUUUGGGUAUAGCCUUGCCGG